rnacentral:piRNA from 1 species
UUCUGUCGAAAACAGUGUGGGUGAUGGA